CACUCUCCAGUCCAUCUGCUCACAGCUUGUCAUGAUAAACACUUCUGAAUUACAAAGCAAAGAGUACACAGCAACAGGAGAGGGACAGCAUCUUGGAUCUUGACAAUAAUAUCAGAGCAAAAACAGCACCCAGUCAUCUACUUUUCACUGCCCCGGACCCACCCCACACUACCCACCCUGCCCCCACCCUUCUCUGACUCGGGUGUCACAGCAACAUGUCAGGCUGGAGAGAAGUUGAAAGUAAGAAAUCAAAGCCAUCCAUGUAUGACUAAAGAAGAGAGACAGACCUAAUAGGUGGAAGUUACUGGGCUAGGGAUCCAAUCUGCUCCACAGUGGCGACCUGACCUGCUGCACUAACAACGCUGGAUCCUUAACCUGCUGCACUUCAAGAGAACUACAAUCUUUUAUUUUUUCUUUCUAAGUUUUGUUUUGCUUUGAACUUGUCAGCAUUUUGCCUUGAGCAAUCUCCACCUCUAAGUCUCCAAAUGCCUGGAAAUGAGAAUUUGUCAAGGAAGUAGAGUUAUUGCAGAAUCAUGAGAAUUGGAUAUGGAAAGAAUUCACGAAGCAGUCUAUUCCAACUGCAGGCCACUUAAGAAGAAUUUUUAGUCUGCUCUCCAAUGAUGGGCUUCAGCAGGAUUUGGUACAACAUCUGUUGAAGAAGUCUCUAAAGAACUUAUGAUUAAAUUAAGUUUAUGGUGAAAUUGUGGGGACCAGGAAAAUUACCUGCUUGAAAAUACCAUUGACCUUAAGUCAGUUACAGGAAAUAGCCUCUGAGGAAAAAAAUCAACAGUGAAAAAUUUUGGUGCCAGCUCUGCCUCUGAAUUGUUGGAAAAAUCCUGUUAUUCCUCUAAAUACAAGGGGGAAAAUGAGAGUGGAAAUCACGGAAGACAGCUAUGCUUCCUGAUAACCUGCAAGACUUUUGAUAUCUCUGCUCCUCAGUUUCCAUGUUUGUAAAAUGGGAAUAACAACCUCCUCCUUGCUUCCUUCGCUAUAUCACAGAAUUUUUGUCAAGAGUAAGAGAAGUCAUUUAUAAUUUAAAAAUUUGGAAAACUAUGGGAUGGUACAUGUGUGACAUUUUUCCUCUGAUUAUAUUUAUUUCUCUUUUUAACCUCCUUCUCAAGCUCUACUCCAUGUACUUUGAAUCUGCCAUCAUAUUACAGACAUUGCUCUCUUAAGCUGUUUUAUGUCCUAGAUUAUUUGACCAUUUAGCUUGAUGAUUGCAAAAGUCUUUUCAGUAUUAGUAUUUAUUUUCUUGCCUUUGGUUACCUUUCACAGUUAUUGUUAUUUAUUUUUUCCAUUACCUAUAAUUCGUUACUAUUAUGUCAUUGUUUCAAAAACUGGGCAUGCCAGGUGCUAAGUUUUAUUAAAGGUGAAUGUCUUAAUAUUGUGUUUAUUUGCUAAUGAUUAAAAUAGCCAUUUUUCUUUUUAUUUAUGUCUCUGUUAUGUUAUGAUGGCUUUCCUUUUAUUGAAAAUAUCAUAUUCAAAUUUUUAAUCUGCAUAUUUGUUCACACUACCCCACAGUGUCAUACCCAAAACAUAAUAGUAAAGUCAUUACUACAGCAAAAAAAUGUUUUUUUUCUUUUUGUAUAAAGGAGGUAGAAAUCACUGUGGGACACUUUAGAUGUUUGCCUGCUAUAGCCAUCUUAAACUGACUGAAUUAGCGAUUAUACAUAUUCAUACCCACACAAAAGGUAAAAUAAUGCCGAAUGGCAACAGAAAUUAAAAUUAUUUGACUUAUACAAUAGUGGCAGGUGUAAGAUUUUGGAAAUGUUUUCGUUUCUCUGAGCCUCAGUUUCUUGUUAUUAAAAUUAGGUUAGUAAUACUCCUUGUAUAUGCCCUAUAGGCAACUGUGGUGAAGUUAUAACAAUGGGUGUAAGUGCCAUUGAUAAGCUGCAGAAAGUGACCAGAACUGAGAGAAUGUGUUUCUCAAAUUUGUUGGCUGCAAUGGUGUUUGCAGGUAGAGAUGAGCCAGGGACCAGGGCCGACAUUCACAGUCCAUGAAUCAUUACUCAAAUUCUCAGUCAUAAAGUCAAGGGCAAGUCUGAGCUAUUCUUUGAUUUGUUGUGGUUUUAUGCCCUUUAAAGCCACGCCUACCUAUAUAGGAACCAAGAACUAAUGAGAAACUCGUUGAAAUGCCUGUUCUGUUGGGUACAGCAACCUGGGGCCCAACCCUUUCAUGAUGAACCCAGGUGGAUUUUGUUAACGGUUUGCAUCUGGUUUCCAAACUUGCCCUCACAUAACCUGGGAGUCCUAGUUCAGCCUCCAACUUUAAUGAAGACAGAAACCUCGCAUACCAGGGCAAAAAACCAUUCUUACAAACCUCUCAUAAGCACAGCUUGGGUGUCCAAAGCUACACAAAAGAUGCUAGUGUUGCAGGGGUUUAACAACCAGGCAGAGGCAUUUAGAUCUCACCCUGGGCUCAUUACCAUAGCCCAAUGUAAGAACACAGAGACCACAAAAUUGCUGUGUGUACUGCAGCACUGCAGUAAGCUUCAGCUCCUGGAUCAUCGUAGGGCCAGGGAAAUGUUAAAAAGCACAAGGCCUCGGGUAGCCUCUGGGGGAACUACUGGAAUGUUGUUUAUCUUCAGACCGCAACAACUGGUCCAGUAUUUCACAACAGGAAGGUCUGUCCUGGGGCUCAGACGUCGAAGGCUUAGAGAAGCAAGGCCUGAAAUAACCCCCCUUCUC